rnacentral:rRNA from 1 species
AUUGAACGCUGGCGGCAGGCCUAACACAUGCAAGUCGAACGGUAACAGGAAACAGCUUGCUGUUUCGCUGACGAGUGGCGGACGGGUGAGUAAUGUCUGGGAAACUGCCUGAUGGAGGGGGAUAACUACUGGAAACGGUAGCUAAUACCGCAUAACGUCGCAAGACCAAAGAGGGGGACCUUCGGGCCUCUUGCCAUCGGAUGUGCCCAGAUGGGAUUAGCUAGUAGGUGGGGUAACGGCUCACCUAGGCGACGAUCCCUAGCUGGUCUGAGAGGAUGACCAGCCACACCGGAACUGAGACACGGUCCAGACUCCUACGGGAGGCAGCAGUGGGGAAUAUUGCACAAUGGGCGCAAGCCUGAUGCAGCCAUGCCGCGUGUAUGAAGAAGGCCUUCGGGUUGUAAAGUACUUUCAGCGGGGAUGAAGGGAGUAAAGUUAAUACCUUUGCUCAUUGACGUUACCCGCAGAAGAAGCACCGGCUAACUCCGUG